UCAGAAUCUGAAGAAACUAAUUCUGUAUGGAGAAACAAAAAAUCUCUCAUUUCCGACGCGAAUAGAUUUUUUUUAUUCGAAAUAAAGGUUCUUGUCUUGUGGGGAACGAUGCACAAAUUUUUGGAAUCCGGCCUAAAAAUAGUAUUGAUUCUUGGAACAAGUGCAAAGAUGCUUUUAUCUCUAAGUAUUUUCCUCCUGCUAAGAUCAUCACUCUUAGGAACGAUAUUAUGA
rnacentral:rRNA from 1 species